rnacentral:tRNA from 1 species
GCCAGUGUGGAGUAGUGGUUUGGGUGUUGGACUAUUAUUCUGGAGACUAGAGUUCGAUUCCCAGCUUGGCCA